ensembl:lncRNA
AAAGCAGAGUAACUGUGCUAUUGUGCCCAAGUUGAUGCCUGUGGAGAGAAAAGGAGAGAGAGUGAAUAACACGAGAAGGAAUAGAGCGAACCCUGUACUUACAGUACGCUGUGUCCAGCCCAGAGUUGAUACCUGUGGAGAGAAAAGGAGAGAGAGUGAAUAACACGAGGAGGAAUAGAGCGAACCCUGUACUUACAGUACGCUGUGUCCAGCCCAGAGGUGAGAGCCAUUCAAAGCAAACUAACUGUGCUAGUGUGCCCAAGUUGAUGCCUGUGGAGAAAGAGAAAGAGAGUGAGCACCCAGAGAACGAACUGUGUGAACCAGUACUUACUGUGAGCUGCAAUCAGCGAAGAGGAGGAAGAAGGAGGGCGCUACGGAUACCUAAGACUCAGGCCGGGGCCUGAGUCCC